CUUGGCAUUGAGUAAGGUGUAGAGAACUGUUCUGGAAACUACCGUUCCUAGGUUUGGGCAGAAGGUGAAGAUCUGAAGCAAAUGUGUAGUGGAGGCAAAGGACAGAAUUCUUUGGGCGUGGCAGACUUACCAUUAAUUCCUGUGGGGAUCCUGGGGCCAGAGAUCACUUGCUAUGAAUUUGCAGGAGUUGGCAAAACUAAAUGUCACAAGUGAGCUAGUGGGAGUUAAAAACUGAACAUGCACAAAACCCGCUGUUAUUGUUUUCUGUUUCAAAGAAACUAAAUCUUGCCAUUUUGUGUGGCAGCAGGGUGCUUACUCAUAGUUCUUGGAUGCCUGAGGCUGACCAUGAGGCACUAAGUAUGCAUGAGUGCAAUAAGAAUAUUGGAAUAAUCACUCUCCCUCAGCUGCCUUACUCCAUUCAGAGCUGUCUGGGAGACAAUUCUUCAUCUGGCAUAACUGAAUUUUGGGCUGAAUGAGAUAUGCUCCACUCAGUAUAGGAAAAAUGAGUGAAGUGCUUUCAGUGGACUGCUGGGAUAUCAGCAAACUUCCCAUGCCACUGAAAAGUAUGAAGAUAUCCAUAAUGAAGGGUUUUGGAGAGUGAGAUAAAAGCAAUGAAAGAUCUGAAUAGUGGAUAUGCAUCUAGUUGCGCUUCUGUCCUUUGAUCUGUGAUUCCAAGUACUAGCCUCCUCUGCGUGUUUUCAUAUGUGUCUUUAUUAUCAACAACAUUUAGCUGGUCCAUAGCACUCAACUAGUUAGGCAGUAACAGCAAGUCCAUACUAAAGCCUUCUGUUCAGAUGCACUCUGAGUGCAAGAGAGAGAUCAGGUCUAAAAUUACUUGACUUUUGGUAUGAUUUCUCUUCUAGAAAUAUUUAAGCAGUCUGAUUUGGUCAGGUGAAUGUGUCUUUUCAUUUUGCUUAGUUUUAACAGGCUACGCAUCUUUCCUCAGAGCUAUCUGGGUUAGCGUCUGUGUUGCUUCAGAGGAGGCAGAGCAGGUCCUCAGGGUACGAUGGCACUAUAGAACAGACACUGUGGCUCAGUAAGGGCUCAUAUGUUGUGCCUGCAAUGUGUUGUAACCAGCUGCAUUCCUGGAAUGUUAUUUUCUUAGCUGAAGACCAGUAUAUAAAGCUGGAGGAAAAUUCUUCAGGAAAGUGUCAUAGGAGAAUAUGCAUCAGUCAGUAAAAGCAGAAUUACGGAAAAGUAAAAGAUCCUGUUGUAACAGAUUAAGUACCUAUCAAGUGACAACAGCAGUUUAUUUUCCUCGAGCAAAAUUAGUGGAUAUACUUAGACAUAAUCCUACCCUCAAGUGUUUUAAUUCUGAUGACAUUUUUUAUUAAGGAGAGUUGGCAAAAUGGAAAAGUACACACUCUAAUGGAAACAAUAUCAUAAAUUUGACAGCAUUUCUACAAGUGUUCUGCUAUUCCACAGAUGUGUUGGGAACCAUCUCUGAGGUUUCAUCAGUGUGAAUGAGGACAAAACUUGGGCUUCAUCAUCCUUGAAACUCUGGGUACCUCUAAUUUAACUUUACAGCAGAGUAGAAGUUGUGUGAUUCUGCAGCCAGCAGUGCUGUGAGAACUAUACCUCAUUUGCUUCAGGUACAAAAGGGUGAGGACAUCCACGUGUGGCUGACUGCAGUAUCGAAGACCGUAACUGAACAGGGGUUUUUAGACUACAGCCACUGACAGCUGCAGUGAAAAGCAUUCUGCUCAAUAAAAUCUAGCCAGAUAGUGGGCAAGUGCUAGGUAAGUGCCUCUCUAGCUACAAACUGCAUGGUCAAAGGUGAAGCUUCCUUGAUAUACCUAUCAGCAGAACUAUGGAGGACAGAAUAAUUUCCUGAGUAUAUGGAGCCUGAAGAUAUCAGCUAUUAAUUUUUUGAAAUUUUCUUCUAACAUAUUAAAACUGUUUAGAUACUGAAAAAACAACAACAACAAAAAACACUUUAUUUCAAAUAUUGGUUUACAUUAAGUCAGAUGGUGAUCGUGUUAACUGAUAAAUAUUUCUUACUGUGUCUCCCUGAAUCUUAAUGUUUCCCUAAAACAAAAACAAAAGCUGAAAAUCCGACCAUGAUAGAGUAUUAAUUCAAGGCCUCUACAGUCCACUUGUAUCCCACUGAAGCACUGGGCUUCCAGCUCUUAUCUUAAUGAAACAGCUCAUAGUGUCAAAGAAAAAAAGCCACAAUGUUGUGAACCUUGGUUACUUUGAUCCAUUCUAAGUAUUGAGCUGUACCAUGCCAUCCUAGAAUUGUCAGUCAAUGUAGGCUCUGCUCUAGCACUUUCAAAGUGAGUAGCAGUAUAUUUCUCUUUCCCGAUCUCCUGCUUCCAAAGCCAGCAGAAGCUGCAGAGACAGCAUAUUUGGCUCCCUCAGGAAGGAUGUUAGUGCUUUGUUUGGUUUGAAUCUCUCACCUCACCCUCUAGCCAAUGAACAAUCAUCAUGGGCAGACUCUGAAGGGAAUUUUCUCGAGGUCUCCUUGAAGGAAAGAUGAUGCCAGUGAACUGGCAGUGGGGAUAGUCAUGCCUCAGAAACCAACAUGGCUCUUCCACACCUACCCACAAAAAAAAUAAUAAUAUGAAUGGUAAAAUUAGGGUUGGAAACAAAUAGUGCAAUGCUAUGACCACAAGUACAGCACAGAAGAAAGCCAGAGAAACUGGCAUGGUAACAAAAUAUGCUGGAACCUGAGCAGAAGAGAGACCUUGAAACAACUUAGGAAGGUAAGAUCAACUGGAAAAAUAGUGGUGCCUUAUCAGUUAUUCUAGUACCUUGCAGUAGAUGGCACUGUGGAAUUCCCAUGGGCCAGUAGUUUAAGAGACUGAAGCAGAAGUAAUUUAAAAAUCUUUCUUUCCCUCUUCAAGGGAUGGGAUCAAGAACAUUAAAAGUAAAAAAUAACGUAAUACAAUAGAAUCUGCCCAAAUGGAUAAAUAGAAAUAUGUACCUUAACUCAAAGAAAUAAAAAUAAUAAAAACAAAGGGGAGUAGUUUCUGCCCUAAAAGCAGAAACUGAAUAGGAAACAGGGUUUUUUGUCUAUCAGAUAGGCACUAAAGACACCGCAUAAGUCUCAGUGAUUUGUACAUGGAAUAGAAAACAAAUGUAUUGUAAUGUAUUGUAUUGACCAAAAAAUAAAUAAUACAUUCAGAAUGCAGCAUAAGAAAAGAAGAACUUUCCUAUGUUUUGACUAAUGAUUCUUGAAUGGCAGAGGCAGGCAUUCCAUAGCCUACUCCAUGACCAGUUUUCAGCUCCACCACAGUGCUACAGUCCUGGGCCAUUGCGACUUUGGAUCCCAAGGAAACACUACCUGCAAAGAAGUAGGUCUUUCCAAAGCAUGUGUCCAAUGUAGGUAUCUAAGACAGAACUAGUAGCACUACCAGUUGAAGACCUCACUUUUAGUGAAAUUUGACUUCAUAGAAUUGCAAUAAUUUGAACUGAUAUCUUCCACACCAAAGGUCUGCCUCAAUGCACAUGAUUAUUUCUGAGUUUUAUUGUAUCUACAGUGACUAGUAGAUACAUAGAAUAAAGACCCUGUAUUAGGCUGACUUUUUCAUAAUACCCAAUGCCCUACCAAAUAUCUUAUUUUGGUAUGUCAUUGUAAUUAUUCCUCUUACAAAUGUUCCUUUGUAUGCAUGAAUGCUAUACUUGUUUAUGCAAAUCAAGGACACGUAAUUGCCCUGGCAUUUCUGAAAACAGAAUGCAGAAUUGCAAAGAAGAAUUUUAAUUUACUCUGUGUAAUCAACUUGGCUUUCGAGGCCUAUACCACAAACUAUCUACAAUGUCCGUAGAAUCUUUUUUGCAGCUUGAUUUUUUGAUUGACGUGAUUUUUCCCAACUUGUGUUUAUGAAAAUAAAAUGUGCCAGUAAAAAAUAAAAUAAAAUCAAAAUAAAAAAUCUCACUGUGUUUCUAACUGGUCUGAGAUCAGAGAUGAUACAUUCAAUAGUGGAGAACAUAAUCUCUACCCCAAGGAACUUGGCAUGUUACAGCAGACACAACUCUUGUAUGUACUAAUGCAUAUUAGGAUUCCACCUCUGACAAAAUAGGAGAGCUUUGUGUGGAAGAUUUAAGGCCUUUUUUUAUCAUUCUUAUGAUAAAUUAAUUAAUUAUUUUUGAAAGACCUUUCAGAGUAUGAGUUUUUAAAAGAAUUUAGUUGGUCAAGCUUACUCCAGCUCUCCAG